UACGGGGGGGGCAAGCGUUGUUCGGAAUUACUGGGCGUAAAGGGCUCGUAGGUGGCCAACUAAGUCAGACGUGAAAUCCCUCGGCUUAACCGGGGAACUGCGUCUGAUACUGGAUGGCUUGAGUUCGGGAGAGGGAUGCGGAAUUCCAGGUGUAGCGGUGAAAUGCGUAGAUAUCUGGAGGAACACCGGUGGCGAAGGCGGCGUCCUGGACCAAUACUGACACUGAAACGCGAAAGCCAGGGGAGCAAACGGG
rnacentral:rRNA from 1 species